UACAGGGGGUGCAAACGUUGCUCGGAAUUAUUGGGCGUAAAGCGCGCGUAGGCGGCUACUUAAGUCGGAUGUGAAAGCCCCUGGCUCAACUGAGGAAGUGCACCCGAAACUGAGUGGCUAGAGUACGAAAGAGGGUCGCGGAAUUCCCGGUGUAGAGGUGAAAUUCGUAGAUAUCGGGAGGAACACCGGUGGCGAAGGCGGCGACCUGGGUCGAUACUGACGCUGAUGCGCGAAAGCGUGGGGAGCAAACAGG
rnacentral:rRNA from 1 species